rnacentral:rRNA from 1 species
AGAGUUUGAUCCUGGCUCAGAUUGAACGCUGGCGGCAUGCCUUACACAUGCAAGUCGAACGGCAGCAUGAUCUAGCUUGCUAGAUUGAUGGCGAGUGGCGAACGGGUGAGUAAUACAUCGGAACGUGCCCUGUAGUGGGGGAUAACUAGUCGAAAGAUUAGCUAAUACCGCAUACGACCUGAGGGUGAAAGUGGGGGACCGCAAGGCCUCAUGCUAUAGGAGCGGCCGAUGUCUGAUUAGCUAGUUGGUGAGGUAAAGGCUCACCAAGGCGACGAUCAGUAGCUGGUCUGAGAGGACGAUCAGCCACACUGGGACUGAGACACGGCCCAGACUCCUACGGGAGGCAGCAGUGGGGAAUUUUGGACAAUGGGCGAAAGCCUGAUCUAGCAUGCCCCGUGUGUGAAGAAGGCCUUCGGGUUUGUAAAGCACUUUUGUCCGGAAAGAAAUGGCUCUGGUUAAUACCUGGGGGUCGAUGACGGUACCGGAAGAAUAAGGACCGGCUAACUUCCGCGCCAGCAGCGCGGGAAUUACGUAGGGUCCAAGCGUUAAUCGGAAUUACUGGGCGUAAAGCGUGCGCAGGCGGUUGUGCAAGACCGAUGUGAAAUCCCCGAGCUUAAUUUGGGAUUUGCAUUGGUGACUGCCCGCUAAAGUGUGUCAGAGGGGGGUAGAAUUCCACGUGUACCAUGAAUGCGUAGAGAUGUGGAGAAUACCGAUGGCAAGGCAGCCCCCUGGGAUAACACUGACGCUCUGCACGAAAGCGUGGGGAGCAACAGGAUUAGAUACCUGGUAGUCCCCGCCCU